GUCUCUGUCCCCCUCCUCUCCCUACUUGAAUCUGGAUGAGCUUGUGACUCACUUAUAACCAAGAAUAUGGAAGAAGUGAUGCUGUGUGAUCUCCUCAUGCCUGGAGCCUGUGAGCCUCUCUCUGAGAAGUCCAGUGCCCCUGAGCCCACCAUGCUGAAGAAGCCACCUGGAGAAGCCCCUGUUGACAGAGAGCCAGCAUCACCUGCCAGUCACCAGAAGGGAGCCAUCUCAGACAUCCAGCCCAGCUGAGCCUUCAACUGACUGCUGCCCCAACCAACAUGUGAACUGCAACCGCAUGAGAGACCCUCAAGUGAGA
rnacentral:lncRNA from 1 species